CUUCGGGGGAGUGGCGGACGGGUGAGUAACGCGUGGGAACGUGCCCUUUGGUACGGAACAACUGAGGGAAACUUCAGCUAAUACCGUAUGUGCCCUUCGGGGGAAGGAUUUAUCGCCAUUGGAGCGGCCCGCGUUGGAUUAGCUAGUUGGUGGGGUAAAGGCCCACCAAGGCUACGAUCCAUAGCUGGUCUGAGAGGAUGACCAGCCACACUGGGACUGAGACACGGCCCAGACUCCUACGGGAGGCAGCAGUAGGGAAUCUUGGGCAAUGGGCGAAAGCCUGACCCAGCCAUGCCGCGUGAAUGAUGAAGGUCUUAGGAUUGUAAAAUUCUUUCACCGGGGACGAUAAUGACGGUACCCGGAGAAGAAGCCCCGGCUAACUUCGUGCCAGCAGCCGCGGUAAUACGAAGGGGGCUAGCGUUGCUCGGAAUUACUGGGCGUAAAGGGCGCGUAGGCGGAUCGUUAAGUUAGAGGUGAAAGCCCAGGGCUCAACCUUGGAACU
rnacentral:rRNA from 1 species